AACCAACUCCAGCCCCCUUAUUCAGCUGGCGGCUCCAGAGGGCCACGACGGGGGCUGCGUCUGUUCAGUGCUCGUGGGUCUCCCUCACCAGACUGUCAGCUCCAGGAGGGCAGGGGCCUUCGUGUGGUCUUGUUUGCUGCUGCAGCCCCAGCACAGGAUGGAUGCUCAGCAAAUCUGUCGAGUAACUGAGUGCGGAGAAGGAAGGUGGUGGGGCUGGAGGCAGGCAGCUCGCUGAAGCGCGGGGGGCCAGAUUAGGGGGAGAGGGAAACCUGGAAGUGUCGGCGGGGCUCAGGGGGCCUCCAGGACAAUCCCUGCUGACCUUUGACCUGCCCGAGCCCGGGGCGGGAGCCACGCCCCACUGGCCCCGGGACCAGCACUCCGGCAAAGUUUGUAACCAACGGGAAACCACGCUGCAGGGCCGCGCUCAGCCUCUGAACGCCUUUAAUUGCGAGGUUUUGACCCCUGCAAAGACACACGUCAUCAAGAGGCGCCUGUAUCAUAAAAUAAUAAAGUGAACCCCGGGAAUCCACCUGACCAUCUCAGAGUUAACCACGAGUUUGAUUUUUGCAUUUAUUACAUUCUUAUUUUGGUUGCUUUUUGUGCUUAUUACACCCUUAUUUUGUUUUUGUGUUUAUUACACCCUUAUUUUGGCUGACUUUUGUGUUUGGUGGUUUAGUCUUUAGGUCGUGUCCGACUCUUGCAAUCCCAUGGACUGUAGCCCGCCAGACUCCUCUGUCCAGGGCCCAGGAUUGCUUUUAUGAAUGAGGCUGCUGUUUAAAAAAGCUGCAUCACAGCCACCGUUUUGAGCGGGGCUUCUGAGGAUGACCCAAGAUGGUUCUGUGCCUCUCUCCCACCGCCUUAAAGUACCCUGGGGUCCUCUGACUUUCUCCCCAAGGGCCGCCUGCUGCUGCCUGGAGCCAUGCUCCCACUGCAGGAACAAGCCGGCGGGCUCCUCGCUGAGCAGCUCAGCUGCAGGCGUGGAAGCCGGUGUUCCUGUGAACUGUGUGGCCGUCUGAGAGGAGCAGCCAGCUGCAGGAGGCUGGCCGGCUGCUGGAGGAGGGACCCAGCACAGCGUGGGGCAAGGGUGCAGACCACACACCCGCCUGGCCUUCAGCUUUGCAAGUCCAGAAACAGCGGGUGCUCUAGGGCGCCUUCCACCUACUCCCACUCAUUAAGCCCACAGAGGCCCUUGCUUAUACUUCAUGCCAACUUCCAUUUAGAAUGGAAGCCAUCCCCCAGCGUCCCUUACCCAGGGACCCAGUCCCAGUGCCACGAUGCUUGUAAAGUGGAAGUGGUUGCUUGGUGAGAAUGGACUUGGAAGAGAGAGAGGAAAGCCUCAAGAAGGUAACUAUCCAAACCCUGGAAAAGCUCUGCAUCUUCUGGUCCCGUUCCUGAGCCACCUCCAGGGCUGAGACCACCACGUGUCUCAUACACCACAGCCACAUACACCUGCCCUGGAAAAGGCCGGGCCUGCUCUGCAACCAUUCAUUUCCAUUCAUGAUGACCUUGCCGAGGCUUUGGACACCAUAAAAGAUCAAGUGGGUUUUCAGUUUAGUCUGUAUGAUAGAAACUGCUUAUCUUCCUGAGUGUUUUUCCCACACUUAGAGUUCUGGGGACACUCUCCUGUUACCCUAUGCAUCACCUGUCCUAACUUCUUCCAGAAAGGCAAAGAGUGGGCUUAUG
ensembl:lncRNA